GACUCCGUAGCUCAGCUGGAUAGAGCAAUCGCCUUCUAAGCGAUCGGUCGCGUGUUCGAAUCACGCCGGAGUCACCA
rnacentral:tRNA from 1 species